GGGCCCAUAGCUUAGCACGGCUCGAGCGUCCGACUGAUAAUCGGAAGGUCACCGGUUCAAAUCCGGUUGGGCCCA
rnacentral:tRNA from 1 species